rnacentral:rRNA from 1 species
UACGUAGGGUGCAAGCGUUGUCCGGAAUUAUUGGGCGUAAAGAGCUUGUAGGCGGUUUGUCGCGUCUGCUGUGAAAUUUCGGGGCUCAACCCCGAACUGCAGUGGGUACGGGCAGACUAGAGUGUGGUAGGGGAGACUGGAAUUCCUGGUGUAGCGGUGAAAUGCGCAGAUAUCAGGAGGAACACCGAUGGCGAAGGCAGGUCUCUGGGCCACUACUGACGCUGAGGAGCGAAAGCGUGGGGAGCGAACAGG